UACGGGGGGGGCAAGCGUUGUUCGGAAUUACUGGGCGUAAAGGGCUCGUAGGCGGCCAACUAAGUCGGACGUGAAAUCCCCAGGCUCAACCUGGGAACUGCGUCUGAUACUGGAUGGCUUGAAUCCGGGAGAGGGAUGCAGAAUUCCAGGUGUAGCGGUGAAAUGCGUAGAUAUCUGGAGGAAUACCGGUGGCGAAGGCGGCAUCCUGGACCGGCAUUGACGCUGAGGUGCGAAAGCGUGGGGAGCAAACAGG
rnacentral:rRNA from 1 species